UGGGGAAUAUUGCACAAUGGGCGAAAGCCUGAUGCAGCGACGCCGCGCGAGUGAAGAAGUAUUUCGGUAUGUAAAGCUCUAUCAGCAGGGAAGAAAAUGACGGUACCUGACUAAGAAGCCCCGGCUAACUACCUGCCAGCAGCCGCGGUAACACGUAGGGGGCAAGCGUUAUCCGGAUUUACUGGGUGUAAAGGGAGCGUAGACGGCGAAGCAAGUCUGAAGUGAAAACCCAGGGCUCAACCCUGGGACUGCUUUGGAAACUGUUUUGCUAGAGUGUCGGAGAGGUAGGUGGAAUUCCUAGUGUAGCGGAGAAAUGCGUAGAUAUUAGGAGAAACACCAGUAGCGAAGGCGGCUUACUGGACGAUAACUGACGUUGAGGCUCGAAAGCGUGGGGAGCAAACAGG
rnacentral:rRNA from 1 species